rnacentral:snRNA from 1 species
AUCGCUUCUCGGCCUUUUGGCUAAGAUCAAGUGUAGUAAGCCACUUACCCAUGAAAUACAUUGUUAGACAAAGAAAAAAUUUAAGGUAAGUCAUAGAGAAAAAAUAUUAACAAUGUGUGUAUCGGACAAAGAACUACUGUAUGGAAUGUACCAAGAAAU